AUUGAACGCUGGCGGCAGGCCUAACACAUGCAAGUCGAGCGAGCGGCGGACGGGUGAGUAAUGUCUGGGAAACUGCCUGAUAGAGGGGGAUAACUACUGGAAACGGUUGCUAAUACCGCAUACUAUCGGAUGUACCCAGAUGGGAUUAGCUGGUUGGUGGGGUAACGGCUCACCAAGGCGACGAUCUCUAGCUGGUCUGAGAGGAUGACCAGCCACACUGGAAAUGAGACACGGCCCAGACUCCUACGGGAGGAAGCAGUGGGGAAUAUUGCACAAUGGGCGCAAGCCUGAUGCAGCCAUGCCGCGUGUAUGAAGAAGGCCUUAGGGUUGUAAAGUACUUUCAGCGGGGAGGCGUUACCCGCAGAAGAAGCACCGGCUAACUCCGUGCCAGCAGCCGCGGUAAUAC
rnacentral:rRNA from 1 species